rnacentral:snoRNA from 1 species
CAAGCAUCGGUGAUGAUUUUCUUUAAUUCGUUAUCCUUGCACUAUGAUUGCCCGUAAAGAAAACUAUGGGGAAUUUGAAUCUGUGAUGCUA